rnacentral:rRNA from 1 species
CUGGACAGCAAUACUGCUGGCUUGUCGUGAUCUCAUCAGAUCUCACAACCUCAUCAGAGCUGGGCAUGGCCAGUACUGGGGUGGGAGCCCUCUGAAGGAAACAGGUUGCUGCUGU